AUGGCUUCCCGCCUGCCUGGGGAUGAGGGGCCCCGCCCGAAGAGGCCGUUGGAGCGACCUGAGUCCUCUCGCCCGCCGCGCGGACCUCGCAUGCCGGCUGGGGACGGCGCCCGACGGGGGGCCGACGACCGUCGGCUCGCUGACCGGGAUGACUGGGCCGCUCCACGCAGGGCUUCAGCAGCCGCUCCCUACCAGCCGGCCCCUGCUCGUGAGGGCACCCAUGACGGCCGCCGGGACGCGUGGCUCCCUCUGCCUGGCUCCCGGGGGGCGCGACACCGGGAGGAGGCUGCGCGGCUACGUGAAGACGACCAGCGAUGCGGAGAUGAACUCCGCUCCGAGCUGCGGCGCCGGCCUGCAUACUCCACCCCUAGACGGCCCGGUCUAGAGGUGGGUCAGAGCUCGCGCCAAGGCGCCCAAAGAUCCGCGGGUUCGGACGACCGUGCUUGGUAUGGGUCCAUGGAUCUGGACCGUGCGGACUCGUGUGAUUGGCUUAGGUCCUCAUCCGGAUCGCCGCGGUACACCCCCCUUAGCACCUCGGGGGAGGCUCCAAGUGGGCCGUUGACGAAGCGGAAGAAGAAGUGCUCGGGUGGGCUCGGUGGUCCUGCCAUCGUGGACGGAUCGGGGAGGUCGGCUAUCGGGGAGCCGGAGCAGGAGGCCUCGGUGAUUCCCUCGGCUAGAGCCGGUCGCGCCCAGACCUAUGAGGAGACGAUGUGCAUCAACUGGGGUGGCUUCUACUAUGUGGACGCGACCCUGGAGGACGAGCCUGUCCGGUCGCACCUGGCGACGAUCACCCUCGUCCCGGAUCAGCAGCCGCCACCGUCGGUUGUGGUUACUGCUGAGAUCAUACGGGCGGAGCUGUCAGCGUACAUUGGCGAUUAUAGAGAUAGCGCCUUCUCUUGGGAAGUCACUGAGACAACGCCGAUGGUCUUCUCGGUACCCUUCCCUUCUGCUGAGAUGCUCAAUGUCUGCACCCACAACCACGUCAAGUUCAUGAUCUCGAUCCAGAAGGCUGAUGCUGAGCCGGACACGGUGCCCCCCCUUGCCCGGGUGUGGAUGCUCAUCUACGGGCUCCCGAGUGGGGGCAAGCGCGAGGACAUUCUCAAAGCCAUCUCGGAGCCGGUGGGCAAGAUUCUGACAGUCGAUCUGGAUUCCUUGGAGGGCGAUGGACCGGCGCGCGUCGAGCUCCUUUGUCAGGCUCCAGCUAAUGUGGACGGCUUGUCCCUGAUCUUCUACUUCGGCAAUAACAAGGGCAAGUGUAUCACCUAUGAGAUCGACCUAGAUGCAAUGGAGGGGCAGCCGGAGGACACGCCGCCAGCACCGCCGCCGGCCCCACCCACGGAGGGGCAGGACGCGCAUGAACUUGCCCAGGUCGGGUUGAGAAAUGAGUCCCAGGAUUGCUUUUGGGUGGAUGAUGCCCCUAGCAGUAUUGUAAACUUGUUAGCCAGCGAUCUUGAUGUGCCUGAAUGA
rnacentral:rRNA from 1 species